ACGAUGAAGCCCUUCGGGGUGGAUUAGUGGCGAACGGGUGAGUAACACGUGGGCAAUCUGCCCUGCACUCUGGGACAAGCCCUGGAAACGGGGUCUAAUACCGGAUACUGAUCGCCUUGGGCAUCCUUGGUGAUCGAAAGCUCCGGCGGUGCAGGAUGAGCCCGCGGCCUAUCAGCUUGUUGGUGAGGUAAUGGCUCACCAAGGCGACGACGGGUAGCCGGCCUGAGAGGGCGACCGGCCACACUGGGACUGAGACACGGCCCAGACUCCUACGGGAGGCAGCAGUGGGGAAUAUUGCACAAUGGGCGAAAGCCUGAUGCAGCGACGCCGCGUGAGGGAUGACGGCCUUCGGGUUGUAAACCUCUUUCAGCAGGGAAGAA
rnacentral:rRNA from 1 species